rnacentral:lncRNA from 1 species
GACAGGCAGCAUCACAGGAGCCAGGCCUCUGCUCUCACUCAAGCCCCUUGUUUUGGAUCUGGGUGGUGGCUGCCUCCUCCCUCUCCCACUGCAUCCGAGGCAGCUGAAACCUCCAGGGACACUUCAAAGGCCGCAGUGGUGUGGCCAGUAGUGGGGAGCAAGUCAGUCGGCCACUGUAUAGAGACUUAGGUUAAAGCAGAGGGAUGGAGCAGAGAGUGGGGUGGAGCGUUGUGUGAAUGUGAAGCAGGCAGUAUGGGGACGAAGGAGGAAUUCUAAAGCACCCAGAGGGAAAAGGGUUUUAAGAAUCAGACUGGCCAGAAACUCUACAAGGGAGGGGCUGGCAGCCAGGAAAUGGUGGUGAUGUCACAGGUAUUGAAAAUAUACAAUUAUAUCCAGCUAAACUAUCACCAUGCCCACAGGUUCACCCAUGUCUAAUUUGGAAAUAUUUUUGGGAAGAGCCUAAGAGACCUCACGGCACACUUCCUACAUGGCCAUCAUGAGGAGAACUGAAAUUUUCCUUCUAAACCACAGGUCAACCCCAGGCUGGGUAACUGUGGGGCAGACACAAGGGAAGUCAGAGACAGGGCAUCACCGGUCCUGUGACAGGCAGAGAGGCAGCAGCUGUAGCCAGCAGAGGUAGGAGAUAGAGAGGCCCACUUUAGCCCACCUGAGGACCAAGGUCCACCCAGGGACAGGAAGGGAAAGAGAAACAGGGAUGGAAAAAGCAGGCUAACAGGGCCUGAGCAGAUAGUGAUCCAGACUUCACUAAGAGUCAUAUGAUCUUGGCUGGCAAGGUGGUUCAGGGGGUUAAGGCCCUUGCUACCACGCCUGACAACCUGACUUAGUUUCCCCUGUGAUAGAAGAUUAGUGACUUCCACGGGUUGUCCUCUGACCUCCUCAUAUAUACCCCCAAUAAAUAUUGUAAUUAUUUUUUUU